CGUAUAUUAAAGUUGUUGCAGUUAAAAAGCUCGUAGUUGGAUCUGUGGUGUGUGGUGUGUUCCGGGCACUUGUUGUCCGAGCAACAUGCUGCUGCCAUCCUUGGGGGGAACCUGUGUGGCAUUAGGUUGUCGUGCAGGGGAUGCCCAUCCUUUACUGUGAAAAAAUUAGAGUGUUCAAAGCAGGCUUAUGCCGCUGAAUAUAUUAGCAUGGAAUAAUGAGAUAGGACUUGGGUGCUAUUUUGUUGGUUUGCGCACCUUGGUAAUGAUUAAUAGGGACAGUUGGGGG
rnacentral:rRNA from 1 species